UACGAAGGGGCUAGCGUUGCUCGGAAUCACUGGGCGUAAAGCGCACGUAGGCGGCUUUUUAAGUCAGGGGAUGAAACUCCUGGAGCUCAACUCCAGAACUGCCUUUGAUACUGAGAAGCUUGAGUCCGGGAGAGGUGAGUGGAACUGCGAGUGUAGAGGUGAAAUUCGUAGAUAUUCGCAAGAACACCAGUGGCGAAGGCGGCUCACUGGCCCGGUACUGACGCUGAGGUGGCGAAAGCGUGGGGAGCAACAGG
rnacentral:rRNA from 1 species